CGCGAAUAGCUCAUCACAACAGCCACCGUUUACUAGAAUAUAGUUAUCCUACUUGGAUAACUGUGGCAAUUCUAGAGCUAAUACAUGCAAAAAAGCUCCGCCCGCAAGGAACGAGCGCAUUUAUUAGAAUAAAAACCAAUCGGGUUUCGGCCCGUAAUUUGGUGAAUCUGAAUAACUUUGCCAAUCGCACAGUCCUAGUACUGGCGAUGUAUCUUUCAAGUGUCUGCCUUAUCAACUUUCGAUGGUAGGUUAUACGCCUACCAUGGUAGUAACGGGUAACGGAGAAUAAGGGUUCGACUCCGGAGAGGGAGCCUGAGAAACGGCUACCACAUCCAAGGAAGGCAGCAGGCGCGCAAAUUACCCACUUCCAGAACGGAGAGGUAGUGACGAAAAAUAACGAGACAGUCCCCUUCGAGGUCUGUCAUCGGAAUGGGUACAAUUUAAAUCCUUUAACGAGGAUCUAUUGGAGGGCAAGUCUGGUGCCAGCAGCCGCGGUAAUUCCAGCU
rnacentral:rRNA from 1 species